UACAGAGGGGGCAAGCGUUGUUCGGAAUUACUGGGCGUAAAGGGCGCGUAGGCGGCCUUCUAAGUCAUGCGUGAAAUCCCUGGGCUCAACCCAGGAACUGCGUCUGAUACUGGAAGGCUUGAAUCCGGGAGAGGGAUGUGGAAUUCCAGGUGUAGCGGUGAAAUGCGUAGAUAUCUGGAGGAACACCGGUGGCGAAGGCGGCAUCCUGGACCGGUAUUGACGCUGAGGCGCGAAAGCCAGGGGAGCAAACGGG
rnacentral:rRNA from 1 species